rnacentral:misc_RNA from 1 species
UCCGGUUUGUCACCGGCAGUCUCGCAUGAGUCCCCAACUAAAUGCUGGCAACAUGCGACGGGGGUUGCGCUCGUUGCGGGACUUAACCCAACAUCUCACGACACGAGCUGACGACAGCCAUGCAGCACCUGCGUUCGCGUUCCCUUUCGGGCACCCCCGCCUCUCAGCGGGCUUCGCGACAUGUCAAGGGUAGGUAAGGUUGUUCGCGUUGCAUCGAAUUAAUCCACAUCAUCCACCGCUUGUGCGGGUCCCCGUCAAUUCCUUUGAGUUUUAACCUUGCGGCCGUACUCCCCAGGCGGUCAACUUCACGCGUUAGCUGCGGUACUGAGGAAUCGCUCCCCCAACACCCAGUUGACAUGGUUUAGGGCGUGGACUAC